rnacentral:tRNA from 1 species
GCCGGGAUGGCUGAGUGGUAAAGCGCACGCCUGGAAAGCGUGUUCCCUCUGGGAUCCAGGGUUCGAAUCCCUGUCCCGGCG